rnacentral:rRNA from 1 species
UCCGUAGGUGGAUGAUUAAGUCAGAGGUGAAAUCCUGCAGCUCAACUGUAGAAUUGCCUUUGAUACUGGUCAUCUUGAGUCGUCGUGAAGCAGUUAGAAUAUGUAGUGUAGCGGUGAAAUGCAUAGAUAUUACAUAGAAUACCGAUUGCGAAGGCAGAUUGCUAACGACGUACUGACACUGAUGGACGAAAGCGUGGGGAGCGAACA